rnacentral:rRNA from 1 species
AUGUGGUUUAAUUCGAAGCAACGCGAAGAACCGUUACCAGGCCUUGACAUGCAGAGAACUUUCCAGAGAUGGAUUGGUGCCUUCGGGAACUCUGACACAGGUGCUGCAUGGCUGUCGUCAGCUCGUGUCGUGAGAUGUUGGGUUAAGUCCCGUAACGAGCGCAACCCUUGUCCUUAGUUACCAGCACGUUAUGGUGGGCACUCUAAGGAGACUGCCGGUGACAAACCGGAGGAAGGUGGGGAUGACGUCAGGUCAUCAUGGCCCUUACGGCCUGGGCUACACACGUGCUACAAUGGUCGGUACAAAGGGUUGCCAAGCCGCGAGGUGGAGCUAAUCCCAUAAAACCGAUCGUAGUCCGGAUCGCAGUCUGCAACUCGACUGCGUGAAGUCGGAAUCGCUAGUAAUCGUGAAUCAGAAUGUCACGGUGAAUACGUUCCCGGGCCUU